GGGGUGGCCUGGAGCGGCGUGCGUAAUGUCGGCACUUUGCUGGGGCCGCGGAGCGGCGGGGCUCAAACGAGCCCUACGGCCUUGCGGCCGCCCGGGACUCCCCGGCAAAGAAGGUAACACAAAGGGAGACGGCCAGGCAGCCCGGGGGCCACGGCGUGGGCUCCUCCCCGCGCGGCCGGGGCCUUUGGCGCUUUGACCUUUGCCUCUUUGCACCUGGGCGUGCGCAGCCCACCGACCCGGCCCCGCUUUCCACUCGCCCUUGCCCGCUUUUCGACUGAGGCUCCUCCGUGCAGUCUGACCUUUGACUCGUGGUUUCUUAUGCAGCCUCCUGACCCCAGGGACCGCCGGUGGCGUCUGCGGCCCCAGGAGGAGCUCGUCCGCCAGCCCCCAGGAGCAAGACCAAGACCGCAGGAAGGACUGGGGCCACGUGGAGCUGCUGGAGGUGCUCCAGGCGCGGGUGCGGCAGCUGCAGGCUGAGAGCGUGUCGGAGGUGGUGGUGAACAGGGUGGAUGUGGCGCGGCUCCCAGAAUGUGGCAGUGGAGAUGGUAGCCUCCAGCCACCCAGGAAGGUCCAGAUGGGGGCCAAGGAUGCCACCCCGGUGCCCUGUGGCCGCUGGGCAAAGAUACUGGAGAAGGAUAAGCGGACCCAGCAGAUGCGUAUGCAGCGGUUGAAGGCGAAGCUGCAGAUGCCAUUCCAGAGCGGGGAGUUCAAGGCGCUGACCAGGCGCCUGCAGGUGGAGCCCCGGCUCCUGAGCAAGCAGAUGGCCGGGUGCCUGGAGGACUGCACGCGCCAGGCCCCCGAGAGCCCCUGGGAGGAGCAGCUGGCCCGGCUGCUGCAGGAGGCCCCUGGGAAGCUGAGCCUCGAUGUGGAGCAGGCCCCGUCGGGGCAGCACUCGCAGGCCCAGCUCUCAGGUCAGCAGCAGAGGCUCCUGGCCUUCUUCAAGUGCUGCCUGCUCACUGACCAGCUGCCCCUCGCCCACCACCUGCUGGUCGUCCACCACGGCCAGCGGCAGAAGCGGAAGCUGCUCACGCUGGACAUGUACAACGCCGUGAUGCUUGGCUGGGCGCGGCAGGGUGCCUUCAAGGAGCUGGUAUAUGUGUUAUUCAUGGUGAAGGAUGCCGGCUUGACUCCGGACCUGCUGUCCUAUGCGGCUGCCCUCCAGUGCAUGGGGAGGCAGGACCAGGACGCCGGGACCAUCGAAAGGUGUCUGGAACAGAUGAGCCAGGAGGGGCUGAAGCUGCAGGCACUCUUCACCGCCGUUCUGCUGUCUGAGGAGGAUCGGGCCACUGUUCUGAAGGCCGUGCACAAGGUGAAGCCCACCUUCAGCCUCCCGCCGCAGCUGCCGCCCCCGGUCAACACCUCCAAGCUGCUCAGGGACGUGUAUGCCAAGGAUGGGCGUGUGUCCUACCCGAAGCUGCACCUGCCCUUGAAGACCCUGCAGUGCCUCUUUGAGAAGCAGCUCCACAUGGAGCUGGCCAGCAGGGUGUGCGUGGUGUCCGUGGAGAAGCCCACGUUGCCAAGCAAGGAGGUCAAGCACGCGCGGAAGACCCUGAAGACCCUGCGGGACCAAUGGGAGAAAGCACUGUGCCGGGCGCUGCGGGAGACCAAGAACCGCCUAGAGCGCGAGGUGUACGAGGGCCGGUUCUCACUUUACCCCUUCCUGUGCCUGCUGGACGAGCGCGAGGUGGUGCGGAUGCUCCUGCAGGUCCUGCAGGCGCUGCCCGCCCAAGGUGAGUCCUUCACCACCCUGGCCCGGGAGCUGAGUGCGCGCACUUUCAGCCGGCACGUGGUGCAGAGGCAGCGGGUCAGUGGCCAGGUGCAGGCGCUGCAGAACCACUACAGGAAGUACCUCUGCUUGCUGGCCUCCGACGCCGAGGUGCCCGAGCCCUGCCUGCCGCGGCAGUACUGGGAGGAGCUGGGGGCGCCCGAGGCCCUGCGGGAGCAGCCCUGGCCCCUGCCAGUGCAGAUGGAGCUGGGCAAGCUGCUGGCGGAGAUGCUGGUGCAGGCUACGCAGAUGCCAUGCAGCCUGGACAAGCCGCAUCGUUCCUCUCGGCUUGUCCCCGUGCUCUACCACGUGUAUUCCUUCCGCAACGUCCAGCAGAUCGGCAUCCUGAAGCCGCACCCGGCCUACGUGCAGCUGCUGGAGAAGGCCGCGGAGCCCACGCUGACCUUCGAGGCGGUGGAUGUACCCAUGCUUUGCCCCCCGCUGCCCUGGACAUCGCCGCACUCUGGUGCUUUCCUGCUCAGCCCCACCAAGCUGAUGCGCACGGUGGAAGGCGCCACGCAGCACCAGGAGCUGCUGGAAACCUGCCCGCCCACCGCGCUGCAUGGCGCACUGGACGCCCUCACCCAACUGGGCAACUGCGCCUGGCGCGUCAACGGGCGCGUGCUGGACCUGGUGCUGCAGCUCUUCCAGGCCAAGGGCUGCCCCCAGCUAGGCGUGCCGGCCCCGCCCUCCGAGGCGCCCCAGCCGCCCGAGGCCCACCUGCCGCACAGCGCCGCGCCCGCCCGCAAGGCCGAGCUGCGCCGUGAGCUGGCGCACUGCCAGAAGGUGGCCCGGGAGAUGCACAGCCUGCGGGCGGAGGCGCUGUACCGCCUCUCGCUGGCGCAGCACCUGCGGGACCGCGUCUUCUGGCUGCCGCACAACAUGGACUUCCGCGGCCGCACCUACCCCUGCCCGCCGCACUUCAACCACCUGGGCAGCGACGUGGCGCGGGCCCUGCUGGAGUUCGCCCAGGGCCGCCCGCUCGGCCCGCACGGCCUGGAUUGGCUCAAGAUCCACCUGGUCAAUCUCACGGGGUUGAAGAAGCGGGAGCCGCUGCGGAAGCGCCUGGCCUUUGCGGAGGAGGUGAUGGAUGACAUCCUGGACUCCGCGGACCAACCCUUGACGGGCCGAAAGUGGUGGAUGGGCGCGGAGGAACCCUGGCAGACGCUGGCCUGCUGUAUGGAGGUGGCGAACGCUGUGCGCGCCUCCGACCCUGCCGCCUAUGUCUCCCACCUCCCCGUCCAUCAGGACGGCUCUUGCAACGGCCUGCAGCAUUAUGCUGCUCUGGGCCGCGACAGCGUGGGCGCCGCCUCCGUCAACCUGGAGCCCUCGGAUGUGCCGCAGGACGUGUACAGCGGCGUGGCCGCGCAGGUGGAGGUGUUCCGUAGGCAGGACGCCCAGCGGGGCAUGCGGGUGGCACAGGUGCUGGAAGGUUUCAUCACCCGCAAGGUGGUGAAGCAGACGGUGAUGACGGUGGUGUACGGGGUCACGCGCUAUGGCGGGCGCCUGCAGAUUGAGAAGCGCCUCCGGGAGCUGAGCGACUUUCCCCAGGAGUUCGUGUGGGAGGCCUCUCACUAUCUCGUACGCCAGGUCUUCAAGAGUCUACAGGAGAUGUUCUCGGGGACCCGGGCCAUCCAGCACUGGCUGACCGAGAGUGCCCGCCUCAUCUCCCACAUGGGCUCUGUGGUGGAGUGGGUCACACCCCUGGGCGUCCCCGUCAUCCAGCCCUAUCGCCUGGACUCCAAGGUCAAGCAAAUAGGAGGUGGAAUUCAGAGCAUCACCUACACCCACAACGGAGACAUCAGCCGAAAGCCCAACACACGUAAGCAGAAGAACGGCUUCCCGCCCAACUUCAUCCACUCGCUGGACUCCUCCCACAUGAUGCUCACCGCCCUGCACUGCUACAGGGAGAGCCGAGCAUGGGCGCUGCCCCUUCCUGCUGGGCAUUUCUUGGCACCGCGAUGUGUGGUUAGAUCUGGAGCACGUGGAGGUCGUUCCAGCAGAAUCUACCGGCCACGGGAGCUGGGAAUGCUCAGGAUGCGGGGUGGUGGCCCUGGCAGGAGGGGACCUCGUAGCCGCCCUCGGAGCUGAGGCUCCCACAGCAGCGUGGGGGGCGGCAGGGGUGGGGCGAGGAGGCUUCUGGGAACAUUUCCUCCCCCUGUACUGAUACCUAACCCAGGAUGUUUGGGGAGGGGCGGGGCGAGGGGUGGGGCGAGGCCUGCAGGAGGGUGGGCUUCCCUGGACCUCAAGUGGAGGGGGCUGAGCGCAGGGCCAGGAUGCUGGUCACUGGGUGGCCCUGUGAGCUCCCCUCCCUUCAGGAGUCCUCCGCUCUGCCACAGGAAGGGCCUGACCUUCGUCUCUGUGCACGACUGUUACUGGACUCACGCAGCUGAUGUCUCCGUCAUGAACCAGGUGUGCCGGGAGCAGUUUGUCCGCUUGCACAGCGAGCCCAUCCUGCAGGACCUGUCCAGAUUCCUGGUCAAGCGGUUCUGCUCUGAGCCCCAGAAGAUCUUGGAGGCCAGCCAGCUGAAGGAGACACUGCAGGCGGUGCCCAAGCCAGGGGCCUUCGACCUGGAGCAGGUGAAGCGUUCCACCUACUUCUUCAGCUGACACCCCGUGAGCCUUGUCAGUGUGUAAAUAAAGCUCUUUUGCCACCCCCAGGA